GCUCAAAUUUGAAAUCUUCAAGGGUUUCCCUUUACGAAUUGUAGUUUAAAGAAGUGUUUUCUGUUGAGGUUUUGGUAAAAGUUCUUUGGAAUAGGACAUCAUAGAGGGUGAGAAUCCCGUAUUUGACCUUUACUUUCAACUUUGUGAUACACUUUCAAAGAGUCGGAUUGUUUGGGAAUGCAGUCCAAAAUGGGUGGUAAAUUUCAUCUAAAGCUAAAUAUUGGCGAGAGACCGAUAGCGAACAAGUACCGUGAGGGAAAGAUGAAAAGAACUUUGAAAAGAGAGUUAAACAGUACGUGAAAUUGUCAAAAGGGAAGCGUUUGACACCAGUGUUGUUUUUCUGAGAAUCAAUUAAAGAACUGUUUAUGCUAAGCUGUUUAGACUUUAUCAGCUAUCUGUUUAGUUUUGAGCUUUUCUUUAAUGCACUUUUCAGUUAACAAG
rnacentral:rRNA from 1 species